CCGGACAGAGAGACAGAGAGAGGAGGUGGCCGUUGCCGAGCAGAAGCCAACCCUUCCCGCCCUCUCGGCAUCCCGACAAGGAGGGCAAGUUGAGAAGUGGAUGAAAUAUCCAGGCAUAGUACCCCUUCCAGAGUGGAUAAGGUCAGAAACCUAGAGUGAUUCUCCCCAGUGAUCUAGAAGCUACAAGCAAGGCUCCCUUCUCAAGUAUCACAAGCAAACACAGUAUCCUACCACUAUGCUGAACAGCUAAGAGGCUCCUGGGAGGCCAGAGAGACACUGCUGGAACAACUCUUGGGUU